UGGGGAAUAUUGGACAAUGGGGGGAACCCUGAUCCAGCCAUGCCGCGUGUGUGAAGAAGGCCUUAUGGUUGUAAAGCACUUUAAGCGAGGAGGAGGGUACUGGUAUUAAUACUACCAGGUACUGGACGUUACUCGCAGAAUAAGCACCGGCUAACUCUGUGCCAGCAGCCGCGGUAAUACAGAGGGUUCGAGCGUUAAUCGGAUUUACUGGGCGUAAAGCGUGCGUAGGCGGCUAAUUGAGUCGGAUGUGAAAUCCCCGAGCUUAACUUGGGAAUUGCAUUCGAUACUGGUUAGCUAGAGUGUGGGAGAGGAUGGUAGAAGUCCAGGUGUAGCGGUGAAAUGCGUAGAGAUCUGGAGGAAUACCGAUGGCGAAGGCAGCCAUCUGGCCUAACACUGACGCUGAGGUACGAAAGCAUGGGGAGCAAACAGG
rnacentral:rRNA from 1 species